rnacentral:rRNA from 1 species
CACGUAGGGGGCAAGCGUUGUCCGGAUUUAUUGGGCGUAAAGAGCUCGUAGGUGGUUCGGUAAGUCGGGUGUUAAACCCCCAGGCUCAACCUGGGGACGCCACUCGAUACUGCUGUGACUUGAGUCCGGUAGGGGAGCGUGGAAUUCCUGGUGUAGCGGUGAAAUGCGCAGAUAUCAGGAGGAACACCGGUGGCGAAGGCGGAUCUCUGGGCCAUUACUGACGCUGAGGAGCGAAAGCGUGGGGAGCGAACAGG